CACACCUCCCUGCAUGUGACUUGCACAGCCUUCCAUAAACACUUCCUGUAAAGAGAGCCCUAUUUAGGCUUUCUUUAUUGCAAGUUCUGUUUAAUUAAGAUUUUCUUAUCCCCUGCUAUGUUAAUAGCGUGCUAGACCCUGCAAGAGCCUCCUGUAUGUGAUUAAAGUUCAAUUUAGAGAUUGAGAUACCAAUGUGUAAUGUAAAUUACAUCUGUUUGAAAGUGAAACCAGUUUUUUUUUUUUUUUCAUGCAGGCUCUGUCAAUCAUAGCCAGGGGAGGUGUGGCUAGGGCUGCAUAAACAGAAACAAAGUGAUUUAACUCCUAAAUGACAGUGAAUUGAGCAGUGAAAUAGCAGGGGAAUGACCUAUACACUAAAACUGCUUUAUUUAGCUAAAGUAAUUUAGGUGACUAUAGCGUUCCUUUAAUUUGUGGUUUAACAGCCAUGGUUGGUCAGUUUUCACUGGGGCAAAACAAGGGACCACACACCGAGAGACGAACAAGGGGGUACGGACAACCGAACAUAGGGUGACAGAGUCUGCUACUGUUACAUACAUGUUCUCAAGUUCUCACCUUUACUAGCACAUAAGCAGAGAAAAAGUAAAAUGAAAGCAGGAUCUCCCCCUUAGAAUGUGUCGAAUUGAUAAAUGACUGCAUGCUCCAUGACGGUGAUGAGUUGGGACUGGUGGUAUUAACGUGGCACGUGAACUCCCUUGCUGUAACAUUUUUUCCUAUUGUAAAACCAAUCAAUAAUGUCUUCAAACAUGCAAAAGUGAACCAGAUUCCCAAACAUGUUAUGCUAAUAUAAGUAACAAAAGCUCCUGUUCUGUGAACAUGUCCAGUGUGUGUAUGGCAUGACUGACAGAAUGCUCGUUGCCUCCUUAUACAAACAAGAUCACGGUGUAUAUCCCAGAUGUUACCUGCUUACAUGUGGUUAUGUACUUAGAAGUGUUGCACAAUCACAGCCAAUUACCUGGAGUUUUAUAGGCUGGCAAAGAAACGUCAUGCCCAGUUCUCUGGCAUUUAUAUGAUCUGUGUCCUUAAUUACAGGAUGGUAGCAGACAUGCAAGGAAUUUGCAAUAGAGAUCGGUUUGUUAACUUAUUAUAAACGCAUUGUAUGUUAAAAUUGAACAUAGAAUCCAAUCCUUUCAAUAAUUUCUCAUGAUUUGUGAUAUAAUGUUUACUUAUCUCCUAUAUUUAACAAAUGUUUAUUUUUGAGCGGUAGAAAAUAAAAUAAAAUGCAGAAUAAAGAGGUGU